rnacentral:rRNA from 1 species
UACGAAGGGGGCUAGCGUUGCUCGGAAUCACUGGGCGUAAAGCGCACGUAGGCGGAUUGCUAAGUCAGGGGUGAAAUCCUGGAGCUCAACUCCAGAACUGCCUUUGAUACUGGGGAUCUCGAGUCCGGAAGAGGUAAGUGGAACUCCGAGUGUAGAGGUGAAAUUCGUAGAUAUUCGGAAGAACACCAGUGGCGAAGGCGGCUUACUGGUCCGGUACUGACGCUGAGGAGCGAAAGCAUGGGUAGCGAACAGG